rnacentral:rRNA from 1 species
UACGGAGGGUGCGAGCGUUGUCCGGAAUCACUGGGCGUAAAGGGCGCGUAGGCGGCUUCUCAAGCGUGUGGUGAAAGUCCGGGGCUCAACCCCGGAUCGGCCGUGCGGACUGGGGAGCUCGAGUUCUGUAGAGGCGGGUGGAAUUCCGGGUGUAGCGGUGGAAUGCGUAGAGAUCCGGAAGAACACCGGUGGCGAAGGCGGCCCGCUGGGCAGAGACUGACGCUGAGGCGCGACAGCGUGGGGAGCGAACAGG